CUUGGGUGACGAGUGGCGGACGGGUGAGUAAUGUCUGGGAAACUGCCCGAUGGAGGGGGAUAACUACUGGAAACGGUAGCUAAUACCGCAUAACGUCUUCGGACCAAAGUGGGGGACCUUCGGGCCUCACGCCAUCGGAUGUGCCCAGAUGGGAUUAGCUAGUAGGUGGGGUAACGGCUCACCUAGGCGACGAUCCCUAGCUGGUCUGAGAGGAUGACCAGCCACACUGGAACUGAGACACGGUCCAGACUCCUACGGGAGGCAGCAGUGGGGAAUAUUGCACAAUGGGCGCAAGCCUGAUGCAGCCAUGCCGCGUGUAUGAAGAAGGCCUUCGGGUUGUAAAGUACUUUCAGCGGGGAGGAAGGCGAUGCGGUUAAUAACCGCGUCGAUUGACGUUACCCGCAGAAGAAGCACCGGCUAACUCCGUGCCAGCAGCCGCGGUAAUACGGAGGGUGCAAGCGUUAAUCGGAAUUACUGGGCGUAAAGCGCACGCAGGCGGUCUGUCAAGUCAGAUGUGAAAUCCCCGGGCUUAACCUGGGAACUGCAUUUGAAACUGGCAGGCUANAGUCUUGUAGAGGGGGGUAGAAUUCCAGGUGUAGCUGGGAAAUGCGUANAGAUCUGGAGGAAUACCGGUGGCGAAGGCGGCCCCCUGGACAAAGACUGACGC
rnacentral:rRNA from 1 species